UUCCCAGGACUCAAGUCUGAAGCAG
rnacentral:piRNA from 1 species